AGAGAUGUAGUUACAUGUUGUUCCCACAAGGGGGCGCAUAUACAUUGUGCGCCUGUUAUGUUGAGGGGGCUACGUGCCCUCUUUGUUUUACCGCAGUAGCACUCCCAAACACAGCAGACGUGUGUGAGCAUGGGAACAACAGAAAAAGCGAGCAUUUCCUAAGGUCCAACUGUGAGCGAGAGGGAAACAACUUCUGUCAAGUUAUUAAUGUUGAGAAACUCCGGUUGGUUUUUUUGUGACCAGAUAGAAUCAGAGAUGGUGAGCCCAGCCUGUGACCCUGUGGCCGGUUGGAGAAAUGGUGUUGGCCAGACUGUAGGAACUGCCCACAGAGGACAUCUGAUUUAAAGUAAUACCCAUUUUCAUUGGGUUACAGAUAAGACACACACUAAUUAUCCUACCUGGGUAGUAGUGAUAGUAGUGACAUUAGACAUUUGAACUGAACUCUUGAGCUCUUUAAUCAUAACUACGUAUUAACGGGACAUUCAGUGAACUAAAGAACAUUUCAUUGGAAGUUUUCCAUCUCCAUAACAGACUAUUUCUGUUUAUUUUCUUGUUUGAUUUAUUUUAUUUUAUUUUUUAUUUUCCAUUCUUAAAAUCUUAAAGUCUUGUGUAUUAUUGUGUAUGAGUCGAGGCAAUAAAUUGUCAUUGUUCAUUAAUUCAUUCCUUGAAUUAUUCAAGAAAACUGCUCAUUGGACCUAGUUGGAUGUUAGUGUCUUACUGCUACUAUUGGUUAGCACUGAGGACACUUAAACUUCUCCCACUAUGUCCAGUUCAACAAACAGGGAAAAAGUCUUAGGGCAUCUGGUGGACUGGUGGAGGGACAUAGAGCCAGACUGAGACAGAACCAUGACAACAUUGUCAUCUCCCUCUUGGCAAGAAGUGUAAUGUAAUUAGGUCUUUCUAUAUUUUA